rnacentral:rRNA from 1 species
UACAGAGGUCUCAAGCGUUGUUCGGGUUCAUUGGGCGUAAAGGGUGCGUAGGCGGCGCGGUAAGUCGGGUGUGAAAUCUCGGAGCUUAACUUCGAAACUGCAUUCGAUACUGCCGUGCUUGAGGACUGGAGAGGAGACUGGAAUUUACGGUGUAGCGGUGAAAUGCGUAGAUAUCGGAGACACGGAUGGCGAGGCGGCUAGCCU